rnacentral:rRNA from 1 species
UACGAAGGGGGCUAGCGUUGCUCGGAAUCACUGGGCGUAAAGGGUGCGUAGGCGGGUCUUUAAGUCAGGGGUGAAAUCCUGGAGCUCAACUCCAGAACUGCCCUUUGAUACUGAGGAUCUUGAGUUCGGGAGAGGUGAGUGGAACUGCGAGUGUAGAGGUGAAAUCGUAGAUAUUCGCAAGAACACCAGUGGCGAAGGCGGCUCACUGGCCCGAUACUGACGCUGAGGCACGAAAGCGUGGGGAGCAAACAGG